UCUUGUGUGGAAGAAAAAAAGAACCUCGGAACACUUCUCUCUGUGUUCCAAAUCAUCUUCAUGUUUUUCUCUAGUUCCAUAAUGUUCUUCUAAAAUCUGUGUCUGUGUUAUCCCUUUUCACAAAGUUUAUCAAUUUUUGCUUAAUUGUGUGUUCUUCUCUGUUUUAAAUUAAACCUUUUCAAUUAUCUCUUCUGGGUUUUUAUCUUUUGAUUCUGGAGAUGGAUAAUUGGAGAAGAAACCAAAGGAUCAGUAACCAUCAUCAAGUGGGUCUGUGGAGAUCCUCCUCUUCAUCCUAUAACGGAAAACCACCUUUAGAUAAUAGGUUUCCAACAGUGCCUUUGUGGGAAAAGCAGUUUUGUGCUUCGGUGGGCUCAGUUCCAUGGCGAAAGCUAAUAGAAGACAAGAGGUACAUGUAUAUGCAUCCCAAAGUGGUAAACUGGGACGACUCUGCUGUCAAAGAGGCAUUCGACAAUGCAAAAAACAGGUAUUGGGCUGAGAUCAACGGCAUUCCCUGGGACAUACCAUUGCCCAAUCCUAACAUUUACAUAGAUGAUGUAGAUUCAAAUGCAAGUGUCGAUUCUGAACUUCAUCGGGAUGUGGAAAUAGAAGCAGAGGCCCGCCACAACAUAAAAGAAAAAGGAGAGGCGGCUGUGAUUCUAGGCAGUUCUCUCCUCUUGAAUCAGUCCUCUUCCGGUCUUGGAUUGGGACCUACUGGAUGGGGGGACGAAGAAGACGAAAAGUUAACAAAGCCUUCUGAACCAAAUUAUGCUGCUCUGGGAUGCGAAUCAAACCAACAUGAAAAUAAUGAAACAAACUUAUGUGAACAGUAUCAUGCGCCCGUUGAACAUGCUGCAAAAGAACAUGGAUGGCAAAAUGGUCAGAAUGAUUCUCAGGGAUGGAAUCAGAGGGAGCGAUAUGGUGGUGACUUUCAUAACAAGUAUCAAGGAAGAAAUAGUGGAAAUUGGGGAACAUGGGAUGGAUAUAACAGAAAGAAAGAAAACAACAUGUCUUGGUCUAAGAACCCUGGAUAUCAUCAUGGCACUAAUGAGUAUCAGAUGAAUAGAGGAAGAAGAAGAAAUGGAGGAAGAGGAGGAGGUGGGGGAAGGAGGGGAAAUUUUGCUUAUAAGGUUGCUACUCCUAGUGCAUGGUAAACGAAGAUCGAAUGUUCUGGAGUGCAAGCAAGGACGCCUAUGAAGCUGCUAGAGGGUCAGUUUUGUGAAAGUUGGCAGGAUAUAAGUUAUGUUUUCUAGGGUACUGUGCAUAUCCUGAUGAAGAGAGUGCAUUAGACUUUUCACUUGUGGAGUCAAUGGAUGUAAAUUCCAAAAACCCGCUCAUCUCAACUCAUGAUUAUGCUAAAUAUUUGGUGAUCAUGGUUGAUACAUUAACAAAAGUGGAGCUGUAGACGUGGUUGCGGUUGAUAGUGUUAGAUUUAGUCCAAAAGCAUUUGAGGGACAUGGACUUAUGGAAGAAGUCACACGUGGUGGAAACGGUUUGAGAUUCUACCCAGCUGUUCGUUUGCGACUUUCAAGAAUGUUGAUCAAAACUGAAGAUAAGGCGAGGUUGAGGGUAUUAUGGUCUGUGUGCAAGUGGUAAAAAAUAUACUAGCACUGGCAGCAAUGGAAAAGUUCAACUGGGUAUCAAGUUUGGAAGGUGAUUUCGGGUAGAACCAGAGGUCGUUGAUUUGGCUUGUGAACAUGGACUCAUUAUUGAAGACGAGGGAACUACUUUAUUGAAGGGGAAGCUUUUAGUACUAGAGAAGCAGCUGAACUAUAUUUGGCUAAAAAUAAAGGGAUUUGUGACUAGUUAUGGACAUGAGAAGAAGUUAUCUUUAAUAAUUGGGUAAGCCUCAAAAUCUUCCCGUAAACAUGUACAUGGUAUUCUCAAGGCAUCAUUGCAUCAGUAAUACCUUCAACAGGGAUCAACCACUCUGUAGAUGAGCAAACUGCAUUUAAAUUACUGGAAUUGUCGUGUGCUAUAACAUGACUGUGUGAAAACCUUUCGAUCUAGGUGCAGACUGCAGAGUACUGCAUAAGAAAAGUGAAUUUUUUUUGCUCUUUGAUAACCAUUUGAAACCUGCUUAUCAAUUUGUAGGAAAUGUGUUUUUGUGUUCAUUAGUCAAAGAAAGGUUCCAAUUACAGGACUGCAAUGUAAAUGAUGAGCUGCCUUAUUUUCUCUUAGUAUAUAUUCCCUUAGUCAAACAAAAAUCAAGGUAUGCUUCAAAGUAUAUGUUUCUAAGUUAUUCAAUUUUUCAUGACAAAGACUAAGUAAAUCAUAUGAUAGUACCAAAUCAAUUAUUA